UUGAGUCUGAAGAGUCUGCGGGAGUUUGUCACUGAGGAGGGAGGAGGAGCAGCUGUCUUAUCCUCUUCCUCCCUCCUUCUCUCUUCACCUCCUUCUCUCCAACUCCCCUCCUUCCCUCCUCACUCCCUCCUCCUCCUCCUCCUCACCCCUCCUCCUCCUCACCCCUCCUCCCCCUCACCCCACCUCUCUUCAUCUCUCCUUCCCUCACCUCCUCCCCUUUUUUCUCUCCUUCCCUCCUCACCCCCUCUCCUUCCCUCACCUCCUCCUCACCCCUCCUCACUCCUCACCCCUCCUCCUCCUCCUCCCCCUCCUCCUCACCCCCUCCUCCUCCCCUCCCCUCCUCCCCCUCACCCCUCCUCCUCCCUCACCCUCCUCCUCCUCACCCCUCCUCCUCCCCUCACCCCUCCUCCUCCCUCACCCCUCUCCUUCCCUCACCCCUCCUCCCCUCACCCCCUUCCUCCCCCUCCUCCCCUCCCCCCUCCUCCUCCCCCCUCCUCCUCCCCCUCCUCCUCCUCACCCCCUCCCCUCCUCCCUCACCCCCUCCUCCUCCUCCCCUCCUCACCCUCUCCACCCUCCUCCUCCUCCUCACCCCUCCUCCUACCUCCUCACCCCUCCUCCUCCCUCACCUCCUCCUCCCUCCUCCUCCUCCUCCUCACCCCUCCUCCUCCUCACCCCCUCCUCCUCUCCUCCUCCUCACCCCUCCUCCUCCUCCUCCUCACCCCUCCUCCCUCCUCACCCCUCCUCCCCUCACCCCUCCUCCUUCCCUCAUCCUCCUCAUCCUUCCUCCUCCUCCUCACCCCUCCUCCCCUCCUCCCCCUCUCCCCCCCCCUCCCCCCUCCCCUCCCCUCCUCCUCCCCUCCUCACCCCUCCUCCCCUCCUCACCCCUCCUCCCCCUCACCCCCUCCUCCUCCCUCACCCCCUCCUCCUCACCCCCUCCUCCUCCUCCUCCUCACCCCCUCCUCCUCCUCCCCCCUCCUCCUUCCCUCACCCCUCCUCCCCUCCCCCUCCUCCUCCCUCCUCCUCCCUCACCCCCCUCCUCCCUCCUCCUCCCUCCUCCCCUCACCCCUCCUCCUCCCUCCCCUCCUCCUCCCCUCACCCCUCCUCCCCUCACCCCUCCUCCUCCUCCUCCUCCUCACCCCUCCUCCCCUCACCCCCUCCUCCUCCCCUCCUCCCCUCCUCCUCCUCACCCCUCCUCCUCCUCUCCUCUCCUCCCCUCCUCCCUCACCCCUCCUCCUUCACCCCCUCCUCCUCCCUCACCCCUCCUCCUCACCCCCUCCUCCUCCCUCACCCCCUCCUCCUCCCUCCCCUCCUUCCCUCCUCCCCUCACCCCCUCCUCCUCCUCACCCCCUCUCCUUCCUCCUCACCCCUCCCCUCACCCCUCUCCUCCCUCACCCCUCCUCCUCACCCCUCCUCCUCCCUCCUCCUCCUCCUCCCCUCACCCCCUCCUCCCUCCUCCUCCUCACCCCUCUCCUUCCCUCACCCCCCUCCUCCUCCCACCCCUCCUCCCCUCACCCCUCCUCCUCCCCUCACCCCUCCUCCUCCCCCUCCUCCCCUCCCUCCUCCCCUCACCCCCUCCUCCUCCCUCACCCCUCCUCCCACCCCUCCUCCUCACCCCCUCUCCUUCCCUCCUCCUCCUCACCCCUCCUCCUCCUCAUUCCUUCCCUCCUCCCCUCACCCCCUCCUCCUUUCCUCCUCCCCCCUCUUCCUUCACCCCUCCUCCUCCUCACCCCCUCCUCCUCCCUCCUCACCCCUCUCCUCCUCCUCCUUCCCUCACCUCCUCCUCACCCCUCCCCUCCUCCUCCUCACUCCUCACCCCCUCUCCUUCCCUCCUCCCCUCUCCUUCCCUCCUCUCUCCUCCCUCCUCACCCCCUCCUCCCCUCACCCCUCCUCCUCAUCCCCCUCCUCCUCCUCCUCCCCUCACCCCUCCUCCUCCUCCUCCUCACCCCUCCUCCUCCCCUCACCCCCUCCUCCUCCCCUCCUCCUCCUCACCCCCUCCUCCUCCUCACCCCCUCCUCCCCUCCCCUCCUCCUCACCCCUCCUCCUCCUCACUCCUCACCCCCUCCUCCCCUCCUCCUCCCUCACCCCCUCCUCCCCUCCCUCCUCCUUCCCCUCCCCUCACCCCUCCUCCCCUCAUCCCUCCUCCUCCUUCCCUCCUCACCCCUCCUCCCCUCACCCCCUCCUCCUCCUUCCCUCCUCACCCCUCCUCCCCUCACCCCUCCUCCUCCUCUCCUCCUCACCCCUCCUCCUCACCCCUCCUCCUCACCCCCUCCUCCCCUCACCCCCUCCUCCCCUCACCCCUCCUCCUCCUCCCCUCCCUCACCCCUUUCCCCUCAUCUCCUUCCCUCACCUCCUCCUCCCCCUCCUCCCCUCACCCCUCCUCCCCUCACCCCUCCUCCCCUCACCCCUCUCCUUCCCUCACCUCCUCCUCACCCCUCCUCCCCUCACCCCUCCUCCCCUCACCCCUCCUCCUCCUCCUCCUCACCCCCUCUCCUUCUCAGAUUCCUUUUUGAUGAAAAGUCAACAGCAUUAAAGCCCCAGAAGCUUCCAGAUGUGUCAUAA
rnacentral:lncRNA from 1 species